UCCAUAUUUCAUUAGGCCAAAUCCAGUCUAAAAUUUCAGUGGGAUUUUUUUUCAUUCAGCAACAAAAGAUUGCCCAAAUGAAGAGAGAGGAAAAGAGAAGGGGAAGAGAGAGAGAGAAGAAAAAUGGCGAAGAAGUGGGAUGAGUGGGAGCCUGUCUGAUGCAAAAAUGAACACAUUUAUAGCUGACAAGUUUGCUAAAAGGCUUCCAUCAAAGUGAGUGAUUUCCUCAUAAUCUUUCCUCUCUCUUCACAAGCCAGAAAAUCUGGAGCUCCUGCUGUUCUACUCUUCUCUUUCCAGUGACUGCUGACCCUCAAGGCUCCCCACUGAUGGCACAAGGUACUGGAGGGGUAACCGAUGGAGCAAUGCAACAAAUGUGGCAGUUAACCCAGCACCAACCGCUGCCAUGUUUGAACGGUUGCCACAGUGACCAGGAGGCCCACACGGUGAGGUUUGGGCUUUCCGUUUUUCACACCCGUGGCACCAAGGGAGGAAAAGCAGAUUGGGAUAGGAGGUGUUGGUUACAGUGGAACCGGAGACCUAGAGAACACAACACAAUAAAACAUGAUGGGGAGAUGUGUUUCCAACUCUUAAAAGGAGGAUCCAAGAUUGGAUAGCCUGUCCAUCAUUUCAUCCAGCAUGGUAUCCUAUCUCUACUCCCUGUGCUGUGAACCUUAUCCAGAGUACUGGGAUUAUUUCAACUCAUCCAAAUUGUUUAGUAUUGCCAUGAAAUAACACAUAGGGAAAGGGGUGUCUUGAAAUUGUAUGUAUGAAGCUGCUGAAAAAGCAAGGCUUAGUUUGUGAUAUGCAGAAGACAUGGUGAAUCUACUGGCACAGAUAAGGCAUAUAGUACAUAAACCUAUUAGUCCACACACACACACACACACACACACACACACACACACACACACACACACACACACACACACACACACACACACACACACACACACACACACACACACACACACACACACACAGCUGCUCCCAGGCCCCUCAGCCGCUGCCAUAGUAAAAGUGCAUGAUUUCUAGCUGCAGCCAUCUUAAGGGUCCUUCAGUUUAAAAAAAUAAAACAAGCCUAAUGCUUGUGAGUCAUUUUGAAAUCACCAUUUUAUAAUUUAUUUAUCUUUUUAUUGACAGCGGAAAAUUUGUGUCAUGUCAACUAGCCCCAGGGACCACUGUGAAAGUGCAGAGAGCAGAAAAUGUGGCUUGAGUUAGCCAGGCGGAUUAGCACUGAGUGCCUGACGAGGAAAACUACAAUGCAUCACUUGAAGGUUUACGUUUUCUCUCUCAAAUGUUUUCAUGUUUUUUGCGGUUGUGCUUCAUUAGGAUGACCAACGUAACAUUCUGGGAUUUUACAUUGUGUGGCAUGACAGCUCUAAGACUCAUUCGGUGGUAAAUGUUCAGCAACAUGCUGAUUUUGACUGUGAAUUACAGGUAAUGUGACUAAACCAUGAUGUUAAGGGCUUCUCAGCACACUUCAGCUCAGGUUGCAAAGUGCCCCCUAACCGCAGAUUUAAAAUCAGAUGUAUGCAAUGUCAUCAAAUGUCUAAAUAUUUAGUACGCAUGGAAAGGGGGAAUUUGUGCAUGUUUAGAGCACCACCAUUAGGUAAAUGAUCUGAGAAUUUGUUAUUGUUUUGGGAACAGUAAUUGGUGACAUGUUUUAUCUAAAACCUUUCAAAUCUCUUAUUCCUCAACAUGGGGACAAUUGGGGGUACUCCAACCCUCCAAAUAAAAAA